rnacentral:rRNA from 1 species
AGAGUUUGAUCAUGGCUCAGGAUGAACGCUGGCGGCGUGCCUAACACAUGCAAGUCGUACGAGCUCGAUCUUCGGAACGGGUUAGUGGCGCACGGGUGAGUAACACGUAGGUGACCUACCCCAGAGUGGGGGAUAACUUCUCGAAAGAGAGGCUAAUACCGCAUACACUCGGUCAUUCAUUUGGCCGAGCAAAGCUCCGGCGCUUUGGGACGGGCCUGCGUCCGAUUAGCUAGUUGGUAGGGUAAUGGCUUACCAAGGCUUUGAUCGGUAGCUGGUCUGAGAGGACGAUCAGCCACACUGGCACUGACACACGGGCCAGACUCCUACGGGAGGCAGCAGUGAGGAAUAUUGGCAAUGGGCAAAAGCCUGACCCAGCAACGCCGCGUGAGGGAUGAAGGCCUUCGGGUUGUAAACCUCUUUCUGGGAGAAGAGACAAGGACGGUAUCCCAGGAAUAAGUCUCGGCUAACUACGUG